rnacentral:rRNA from 1 species
AAAUACUCCUGACUGACCGAUAGUGAACCAGUACCGUGAGGGAAAGGCGAAAAGAACCCCGGCGAGGGGAGUGAAAAAGAACCUGAAACCGUGUACGUACAAGCAGUGGGAGCACCCUUUGGGUGUGACUGCGUACCUUUUGUAUAAUGGGUCAGCGACUUAUAUUCUGUAGCAAGGUUAACCGAAUAGGGGAGCCGGAGGGAAACCGAGUCUUAACCGGGCGUUAAGUUGCAGGGUAUAGACCCGAAACCCGGUGAUCUAGCCAUGGGCAGGUUGAAGGUUGGGUAACACUAACUGGAGGACCGAACCGACUAAUGUUGAAAAAUUAGCGGAUGACCUGUGGCUGGGGGUGAAAGGCCAAUCAAACCGGGAGAUAGCUGGUUCUCCCCGAAAGCUAUUUAGGUAGCGCCUCGUGAAUUCAUCUCCGGGGGUAG